rnacentral:misc_RNA from 1 species
GCUCCGCCUCCCCGUGCCCGCCCAGUCUUGCUCCGGCACUUGUAGAGGUCGGACCCUUACCGCCCUCGUCCCGCGCCGCCGCGUCACUCGUUUGCCUGCCGAGUUUCCCCAGGGACUUUCAGAUCCUUUUAAAGCGAGUGCCAAGCUCGAGAGAGACCGAUAAUAGAUGACGCAGCCAUCGGUGAGGUGCCCGAGGAGAGGUCGUGCGCUCAGACCCCGCGGCCGCGUAAGCCCCGAGCGAACGCAAGACGCGGCGCAGUCGUCCUAAGGAAGGCGUUUUUUGCGUGUGCGUGAUCGACGGGAAGGGAGUCGAGUCGAGCGGCCUGACCUUUGACCUCGCAUUACGGGACUUAAGGAGUGUGUAAAGAGGAAAGUCCGUGAGUGUUUGCGCGUCGUUAAGCGCAGGAUGGAUCCCCCGCCUUGAAUCAGCGCGCCUGCAAGCACACGCCGAUGAUGUGAAAAGGCGGGUGAAGCGAAGAGAGGAGGAGGAGUGGAGGAGGUGGAGAAGAUUAGGAAGGAAAGGGGUAGACGGAAUGUGAGAAAGAGAAAAGGAAAAAUAGAUAAAAGAACUCUAUCAAUAUGUAACACAGGAAAGAGGUGAAUAGAUGAAAAUGAAAGAAAUGAGAUAGACCAGAACAGGAUGUGAGACAACAGAAGGGCGGGAAAAUUAAUAAAACAGCGAAAAUCAGACGAAAAAAAAGAAGAAAGAUAAAGAGAGAGAGGGAGAGGGACACACUCUCCUCCCUCUUCCGCAGUGGCACCACCUCCAACAUGGUCAACGUGCGGUGCCUCGCGUGCCAGGUCAAAUACCGAAUUUUGGCCGCCAAGAACACCAACCUGCUGGACUGCCAUGUGCCCGUGCCAGUGUCCCCGGAGCCGCGCUUCCCGUACAGGGCGCCCAAGCUCAGGAAACCACGCUCCUACAAUAGGACUUACGUCCGGGAGAACAGCGCCGCCCACAAGGAGAAUGCCCGCCCGCUCCCCACGUCCCCGCCCACGACGCCCGUGUCCCCGCUGUCGCCGCCCACGCCCCAGGGCUCGGUCAGCACCACCUCGGCCACCAUUACACCCGGGGUCGCCCACAACGCCCACCCCGCCCCCGGCUCCCCCGUGGGCGUCGUGCCCUCGGCCCCCGCGCCCCUGCAGUCCCCGAGGGCCACCAACACCAUCCGCCGCCACACCAAGGCCACCAAGAACCUCCUCAUACCCAGAUUCUAUUACCCUAUGGGCCGCCCCACAACCCAGGUGUCCCAGGAGCAGUCAAUAUCACGGGUCAACGCUGUGUUCCGAGAGAAUGGAGGUCAGAUAACACGGGACAACAUGGAGCCACUGAUAAGGGCUUGUCAAGUCCCACUCUACUGGAAGGCUCCUCUCUUCAUUGCUGCUGGUGGAGACAAGCUGGGCUACCUCACACAGGAGCAGUUCUCAGACUAUUGGAGCAGAGUGAUCUCUACCUGCCACGACAUGGCCUCUCGCUUUGUCCGAGUGCUGAGUCGUGGUGUUCGGAACUACCUCAUGCCAGAGGACUUUCUUAGCAUGAUUCAGGAUGUGGUGGACACCCACCCUGGCCUCACCUUCCUCAAGGAAGCCACUGAGUUCCACUCCAGAUAUGUUCAUACAGUCAUAGCAAGAAUAUAUUAUUGUGUAAAUAGAUCCUGGUCAGGUAGAAUAACAGUUCCAGAACUUAGGAGAUCAAACUUGUUACAAGUUAUUAGCUAUUUAGAGGAAGAAGAAGAUAUUAACCAAAUCACUGAUUACUUCAGCUAUGAGCAUUUUUAUGUUAUUUAUUGCAAGUUCUGGGAAUUGGACACGGAUCAUGACCUUUUCAUUGACAAGCAUGAUCUUGCAAAACAUAAUGAAAGAGCGCUGUCAUGGCGCAUGAUUGAGCGAAUAUUCAGCGGGGCAGUUACCAGAGGAAGGCUGCAGAAACAGGACCGCAUGGGCUACCAGGAGUUUGUGUGGUUCCUGAUAUCCGAGGAGGAUAAACGGCAUCCCACAGCCAUUGAAUAUUGGUUCAGGUGCAUGGACUUGGAUGGUGAUGGCUAUCUGUCCAUGUAUGAGUUAGAAUACUUCUAUGAAGAGCAGCUGCAGCGCAUGGAGGCCCUCGGCAUUGAGACUCUUCCUUUCCAUGACUGCCUCUGUCAGAUGUUGGAUAUGGUGCGUCCAGAGAUGGGCGACAAGAUAUCUCUAAGGGAUCUGAAGCGUUGCCGCAUGACUCCCAUAUUCUUCGAUACGUUCUUCAACCUCGAGAAAUACCUGGACCAUGAGCAGCGUGAUCCCUUCGCAUCACACAGAGCUGAGGAUGAUGGGCCAGAGUUCUUGCAGGUUUCGGAGUGGGAUCGCUAUGCGGCUGAGGAGUACGAGCUGUUGGUGGCGGAGGAGGGCGGAGCCGAUCACCAGGAUGAUAUGUUCUUCUUGGGUGGAACUUUAGAUGAAGGUGCAGGCAAUAGUGGUGGAGAAACUUAAGUGCACUGUGCACCUUGCAGGAUUGUGGAGGAGAGUCUGUGAGGAUGAUGUGCACUUGACAGGUUCUACGGUGAUGAAGAUGAGCUGUCGAUGGGUUGUGAUGAUGCCUUAGAUUCCAGUCCAGGAGGUGGCCGAACCCUGACCGGAGGUGUAGUGGGUGGUGGUAGUG